AGGCAAACCAGAUUAAAAAUAAGAGAUAGAGAAAACGGGAAGAUAGAAAGAGAGAUGAGAAAGUGAGAAGGGAGGGGCCGGCCACGGUUGUUCCGUGGCGGCACUACGGAGGCAACACCAUUGUACAUCCGAGCGACGGUGACGAUGUUGGACGGUGUAAUAGCUCACUGGUCGGCGUCAGAACAGUACCCGAGGCUGCCUCCGGUGAUGCGGCUACGGUGCUGGCAAGGUUCUUGCUUACCUCCGUUUUAAGGCGCCGCGCUCUUUCCAAGGCCACCAUCAAUUCCGGAUUUGCGAUGUUCAUCUAGGAUCCCAUCUACUAUUGCACAUUCAAACGGUUAGAGAUGUGAUAAUCCCUAAUUUGUUAACUUCAGUCUGCUUUACGAUACAUAUUCUUCAAAUUAGUUUUGAAUUUUUGAUGAAAUGGAAGCAGCCGAAGAUCUUGAUGUAGUUCAUGAUAAGUAUCUUAACUCAAUCAUUUCUUGUACAACGGUCUCAAUCUCUUUAUAAAGGUAUAUUCGUGAUGUUCAAUUUUAUAUUUCUUUGCCUUGAUAAGUUCUCCUAAGGAUUAUACUUUUGACCCGUUUAGCUCAUAAACGGGGUUGAUUUGGGUUGUAUUUUGCCUCAAAAGGGUCCAAAGUUGUGAGAAAUUAUUUAGAAUGCUUGAAACCUUAUUAUCCAUUUUGCAUCAAAUAUAAACACUGGAUUCUGUUUGUAUGAGUAUGGUUCUUUAAUUCAUGAUGAUAUGCAAAAACAUGAAGUUUCUUAUUCGGUUCGAAUUCCAGUUCAAUUUCGAAAACGUCAACCCGAUCAACCUAUGCAAAUAACCUGAUAACCAGCCCGAUGAACACCCCUGGGACCCAUUUAAAAUAAAUCAAAACUCAAAUCAUUCUCUUUAUGAGCAAAUGGGUCGAAAUUCCCACCCCAUAUAUUUCAUUUAAUUUAAAGGUUGGGUGAGCAAACUAUUUCCAGAAAAACAAGCACGGAUUCAAUCUCAACUAGGGAGAAAUAUGCAGAUAAUCACAAUUCAUUUUAGCUGUUGUAACUCAAUUUCAAAAGUGCUUUUAGGAAUUAUCAUUAAUGCUUCACAGUUGUUUAAACCUAUUCACUUUUUAUUCUCCUGGCGCGACUAGAAUCUAGCGAAUCACCGGAGGUUUUUGAGACUUGAAGUUAAAUCAAAGCUCGCUUAAGAAGCUAGCAGAAAAAAGGAUGCUGGAACAUAGCAGAUGAUAUGCAACUUCUUGAAUAUAGGGUAAGUGACUUCAAUUAAUUAACAUUUUUUGAAUAAAUUAGCAUGGAAUACAAGCAAGUAAGCAACAAA